rnacentral:rRNA from 1 species
GCUGGCGGCGUGCCUAAUACAUGCAAGUCGAACGGUCUUUUCUAUGGAAGCUUGCUUCCACUGAGAAGAUAGUGGCGAACGGGUGAGUAACACGUGGGUAACCUGCCCAUAAGAGGGGGAUAACAUCCGGAAACGGGUGCUAAUACCGCAUAGUUUUCUUGAUCGCAUGAUCGGGAAAGGAAAGACGGCCUUUGUGCUGUCGCUUAUGGAUGGACCCGCGGCGUAUUAGUUAGUUGGUGAGGUAACGGCUCACCAAGACGAUGAUACGUAGCCGACCUGAGAGGGUGAUCGGCCACAUUGGGACUGAGACACGGCCCAAACUCCUACGGGAGGCAGCAGUAGGGAAUCUUCCGCAAUGGACGAAAGUCUGACGGAGCAACGCCGCGUGAGUGAAGAAGGUUUUCGGAUCGUAAAACUCUGUUGUCAGAGAAGAACAAGUUGGAGAGUAACUGCUCCAGCCUUGACGGUAUCUGACCAGAAAGCCACGGCUAACUACGUGCCAGCAGCCGCGGUAAUACGUAGGUGGCAAGCGUUGUCCGGAUUUAUUGGGCGUAAAGCGAGCGCAGGCGGUUCCUUAAGUCUGAUGUGAAAGCCCACGGCUCAACCGUGGAAGGUCAUUGGAAACUGGGGAACUUGAGUGCAGAAGAGGAGAGUGGAAUUCCAUGUGUAGCGGUGAAAUGCGUAGAUAUAUGGAGGAACACCAGUGGCGAAGGCGACUCUCUGGUCUGUAACUGACGCUGAGGCUCGAAAGCGUGGGGAGCAAACAGGAUUAGAUACCCUGGUAGUCC